CUCUGAAGCAAUAUUCUCUUCCUGCGCUCGUCUUUCCCAUCUCCUCUUCCUCCGCUUCCGCUUCUCGAAGAGCUGGAAUCGCUUUCACUCAUCGCCUUUCGGUUCGUGCCGUGUCCUUAUCUUGCGAUUCCAUCCGACUUUUUCCAUCCUUCGACGUCAGCUCCUGAGAAUAGUGUCAAUAAUGGAGACGAGGGACUCGUGGGAGGUGGAAAGCCCUCACCUUUCGGUUUGCUUUUGUCUUUCUCUUGCCUUCAUAAACCCAAUUCCAUCCAUCGCCUCCUCUUCUCUUCGGAUCAAGGUCUUCCUGAUUGCUUUCUGGGUUAUCUUUCCUUUUAUUUUCUUUUGCUGAUAUGAUUGACUUACUGCCUGUUUUGUUCGAUUUUGUCUCCUUAGAUCCGUUUCUUAGUUUGGUCACUUUCUUGUUGAAUUGAUUGAAAUUACAAUUAUUUAUUAGAAUGAUUGAGAUCUGCUCUGUUUUCUUUGGUAUUUACCAUAGUUUGAUACUUCUGAGAUAUGGUUUUUCUCUGUUCAUCCUGUUGAAUUGAUUUGGACUUCGUUUUCUUUUUCGGUUCCCUUUUCCCAUUUUUACAUGUACUAUUAUCAAGUGUACUGAUAGUUGAUGCUUGUGCUGUUGUUAACUUACUUUGGUGCUACAAUUUAUGUAAAAUUAUAUGACUAGAAUGAUGUCUAUCGUUGAAUAUCCUACAUGGUAUUCUAGGACCUGAUGUCAGCAUGUUGAUGUUUGCAGUAACAAUUUCUAGCUUGGAGAUACCAUUUCAGUAGCUCGGAAGAUCGACUUCUCUGAGAAUUUGAUGCGAGCCCCACUAAUCAUGGCUUCGAGGGCACCUGUUGGUGGAUUCCAACGACUCUCAUCUGCUUUGUCUUCAGCUGCUCUUGAAUGGAUGUUGAUGCUUCUGUUAUUCUUUGAUGCCUUGUUUGUCUACCUGGUGACAAGGUUCUCUCGUCUUUGCAUGCUACAAAAACCUUGUAUGUUUUGCUCAAGGCUAGAUCAUGUUUUUGGAAAUGAGAAACGAAGCUUCUAUCUGGAUUUGAUCUGUGAAACUCACAGAUCAGAGAUCUCAUUGUUGGGUUGCUCUAAUGGUCAUGAAAAGCUUGCUGAUGUUCAUACCGUGUGCCAGGGCUGUUUUCGUUCAUUUGAUACCGAAGGGACAUCCAACUCUGAGACUUACAAAUCAUUGGUUGGUGAGUUAAAAGGGCAUCUUGAGGACGGUGAAGAUGUUCAGGACAUUGAUGGCCUCCAUCUGUUUCAUGGGGAUGAAUUGGCAAAUGUCCCUUUUUUAAAGAAGGAUGAUGAACUACAUGCCAUCAAGUCGCUUGAAGAUAAAUCCAUAAGAGUUGAUGUUUCUGAAGUUGACAUUUCUUUGUCAAGUUCAAAUGGGCACAGUUAUCUACAGAAUAAAGAUGGAGCGAGAAAGACGAGAGAGAAAACCUUGGUUUCCCCAGCAUAUCAGUAUUCAAAGAAUCAAGAACAUGAUCACUUCUCUCAUGUUGGAUACAGUGAAGUUAAAAUUACUUCGGACUCUGAUUCUGACUUAGAGAUCCAAUUCACAGAUGAUGAUGAAGGAAAUUCUCCAUCUCAUCGAGCUGAAACUGUCAUGUAUGAUUUGGUGUCUCAUGUUGAAGAAUCAGAGGGUGUCACUCUAAUAAAAAAUGAUUUAUCUGGAAGUGUUUCUGGUGAAAGAGCCACAGAAAAGUUGAUUCGUGCGGAUCAAAUUAGUGUUUCAGAUGCUAAACCCCUUGAAAAGUUGACCGACCCUGCUCCAGUAAUUAGUGACCCUUUUGAGUCAAUUCCUGAAAAGCAAAGAAAUGCAGGUGAGCUCCAUGAUAUAUCAACUGUUUCUUUAUCUGGUGCUACUACGCAAUGUUUGGAUGAUAGUAACCAGGAACAAAUUGAUGUCAAUGCUAUUCUCCCACAAUCUGAAUAUGUGCCACAAGGUCCCCAAGAACUUCUUGUAGAAGAUUCACAUGUGAAGGAUAAUUUGAAGUUUAGUGAUGCUGCUUAUGGUCAAACUACUACUAUUGAUGAUGCAAAGGAUUGCUGUACAACUGACAUCAAUUUGAGGACAAGUCAUGAUGCAAAAUUUAGUGUUUCUGAUGAUAAAGCCCUAGAAAAGUUGAUGCACUCUGAUCCAGUUAUCACUGAGCCUUCGGAGUCAAUUUCUGAGAAUCAAACAAACGUAGGUGAGCUCCAAGAUGCAUCAACCUUUUCAUCUUCUGGAGCUGCUGGACAUUUUUUGGAGGAUAGCAAUUGUAACCAGAUCGAAGUCAAAGCUAUUCCCCCCCAAUCUGAAUUUGUGCCACAAGAUUCUCAAGAAGUUCUUCUAGAAGAUUCAAAUGUGAAAGCAUGUACUGGUACUACUUCAGUUGAUGAUGCAAAGGAUUGGUGUACAACUAACAUCGAUUUGGGGACAAGUCAUGAUGCAAGUGACCCUGGUCAAUCUAUGAGUACUCGUAUGGAUUUGAAUGAUGCUUAUAAGAUUGCUGUUGGUGAUAAGGGAAGCUUGUCAUCUCCUAGAUUUACUGAUGUAAUCAUUGGGAGGGAUUCUUCUAGAGUUCAGGAAGAUCUGAAACUCCUGAUUUCUCAGAUAUCUGCAGCUCAGGGGCUUGAGUCUCCAUGGAAUGAAAUGAGCCCUAGUCCCCGAGUAUAUGGACAAGGCGAUGAAUAUAUAUUGCAGAACAUAACUAAAACACUCUCUCUCGAGAGGAAUGAAUCAGGAUUAGAGUCACUAGAUGGAAGCAUUGUAAGUGAGGUGGAAGGAGAAAGUCCAGUUGAGAGGCUGAAGCGGCAGGUUGAGUUGGACAGGAAGUCCAUAAGUCUUCUCUUCAAGGAGUUAGAAGAAGAAAGAAGUGCUUCAGCAAUUGCAGCAAAUCAAGCAAUGGCCAUGAUUACUAGGUUGCAAGAGGAGAAGGCUGCAAUGCAUAUGGAAGCCCUGCAGUACCAAAGAAUGAUGGAAGAGCAAGCAGAGUAUGACCAUGAAGCACUUCAAAAAUGUAACAAAUUGCUUACUCAAAGGGAGAAAAUGAUACAAGGCUUGGAAGCUGAGGUGGAAAGCCUUAGAAUAUGCUUUGUAGAAGGAUUAUCCACUGACAAUUCAGUGGAGCAGAGUGAUAACUUCCAUGAUAAGGAGAUUGCAUCUUGGAACAAAUCCGGGGAACCUCAUGUAACAUGUCAAAAUUCAAGAUGGAGUGAAUUUGGGGAUUUGAAGGAUCCCUUAUCUUGCUUUGAAGAUGAGGAGGCAUAUAUAUUAAACUGUUUGACAAAGUUGGAGAAAAAGCUUCAUCUUUUUUCCAAUAAUGGUGUUUAUGAUGAUAGUUCAAGUUUUAAUUUGAAUGCUGAUGAUGAAAAUGGACUUCCUGAUAAAACAUGUGGGGAUGUUGACGGAGAAUUUUUUGUAGAAAGGAAUGUUGUGUCAGAAGGUGGUGUGGGCACAAAUGGUCAAAUCUUUGACGAAGUUCAAGUUUCAAGUCAAGAGAAAAUUUAUCAGAAAGAUGGUCCUCCAGAAAAUAUUCAGGUAGGAGAGAACAUUAUGAUGGAAGAAAAAAUUUCUGGAAAAAGUUCAAGUUCCUCUGAAGGAAACCGUGGAGACAGUUAUGACAUUGACAAGCAAAAAUUAUUGAAAGUAGGGAACAAGAAUGAGUUAGUUGCUCUUGAGAAUGAAGUGUCACGUCUGAGUCAGAGGUUGGAGGCACUUGAGGCAGAUCGUAAUUUCCUGGAACAUGCCAUUAACUCACUCAGAAGUGGCAACAAUGGUGUUCAGAUUAUUCAAGAGAUAGCUUGUGAUCUGCGGGAAUUACGGAGAAUUGCAAUCACCCGAUGAGAGCGUCUUAUAACUUGAACUUUUAUCUUAUCCAAAAGGUUGGUGCAUGUAGCGGGCAAUACACUAGUUGUUGUAUUGGGUAAAUGUAGAAUCGAGGGCGAGCUUACUGCCUGGUUCAGACCCCCUAAAAGAAAAGCUCCAGAUAAUAAGCUCAGUUUCUGCAGGGCUUGGAUCGACGCACAAAGUCUGAGUAUUAUUUUCUAUAUUCAGAAAUGUGAGUAUUACCCAAUGAGUGUUUUUCUUUUCUUUUCUUCUUUGUGUUUGCUUGGUGUUGUGUUGUCUUUUUGUCCUCAUGGUCUCUUCCCUAUGUUCCCUCCCGAGUAUUCUUUAAACUCUUUAAAAUAUGUGUAAAUUUGUAAUAGGGUGAUUUUUUUGUAUGAUAGUAAUAACUUGCACACUGUAAAGUUCCUUCUGUAUUCGCGUAGGCCGCCGAUGUUUUUGCUUAUUAUGGGGACUUUUAGUUUUUGAAGAGUCUCAAUAAUAAAAAGUAACAGAUAUUAUGAUCC